UACGUAGGGUGCAAGCGUUAAUCGGAAUUACUGGGCGUAAAGCGUGCGCAGGCGGUUUUGUAAGCCAGAGGUGAAAUCCCCGGGCUUAACCUGGGAAUGGCAUUUGGGACUGCAAGGCUCGAGUGCGGCAGAGGAGACUGGAAUUCCUGGUGUAGCAGUGAAAUGCGUAGAUAUCAGGAGGAACACCGAUGGCGAAGGCAGGUCUCUGGGCUGACACUGACGCUCAUGCCCGAAAGCGUGGGGAGCAAACAGG
rnacentral:rRNA from 1 species